GUCACUGAAGGAGGAGGUACCUGCCGAGUUGAAAACCCUUGUCAUAGUAUUUAUUCUUCAUGCAUCAUUCAUAGACAAUGUAAAAUGCAGUUUAGUCAUAUCCUUGUAUCAAGUUCUGCAUUCCAUCGAGUUGGAGCCCUAUUGUCGUGUGGCUCCGACAUAAUAGUAUGGACACUUAUGGCUCUGCUUCUUUCUUGAUGUUACCACACAGAAGAACUUAGCUGGGGUAUGUUCAGCUCCCCUGAUUGCUCUCAAUAGGAACUCCAAGUUGUCAAUAUUUAUAUUUAAAAUCAUGUAUACAGAUUAUGAAACAUUGUGGCCUUAACUAUAAAUUUGUACUUGCCUAGUUUGUGCAAGAGGUGGAAACGUUGUGGCCUUAGCUAUAAAUUUGUGUAUGAAGAUGUAGUUGGUGU
rnacentral:lncRNA from 1 species